rnacentral:misc_RNA from 1 species
GAAAGAAAAAAAAAAAAAAGAAACUUCCUCAAGUAGAUCUAAACAAUAGAACUUUACUGGGCUUAAGGAUUUCGAGUCGAGUAUCCUAAGAUCCAGUAAACUAUGUGUUCAUUCAAGAUCCUUCUAAAUCUAAAGAUUAAAACAAGGGGUUCAAUUCCUCAAUUUGAUCAAAUCAAAAUUAAAAUAAGAAGACAAUUCUCCAAUAACAAACAAGAAGAUUUCAACCCAAAAGAAGAAAUGACCUGGUAAGUCGUGUCGAAUUUAU